GGAAUAUUGGGCAAUGGAGGAAACUCUGACCCAGCGACGCCGCGUGCGGGAUGAAGGCCUUCGGGUUGUAAACCGCUUUCAGCAAGGAAGAAGCGAAAGUGACGGUACCUGCAGAAGAAGCACCGGCUAACUAUGUGCCAGCAGCCGCGGUAAUACAUAGGGUGCAAGCGUUGUCCGGAAUUAUUGGGCGUAAAGAGCUCGUAGGUGGUUCGUCACGUCGGAUGUGAAAAUCUGGGGCUUAACCCCAGACCUGCAUUCGAUACGGGCGAGCUAGAGUGUGGUAGGGGAGACUGGAAUUCCUGGUGUAGCGGUGGAAUGCGCAGAUAUCAGGAGGAACACCAAUGGCGAAGGCAGGUCUCUGGGCCAUUACUGACACUGAGGGGCGAAAGCGUGGGGAGCGAACAGGAUUAGAUACCCUGGUAGUCCACGCCGUAAACGGUGGGCACUAGUUGUGGGAACCUUCCACGGUUUCUGCGACGCAGCUAACGCAUUAAGUGCCCCCCCUGGGGAGUACGAUCGCAAGAUUAAAACUCAAAGGAAUUGACGG
rnacentral:rRNA from 1 species